CUAUAAUUGAGUUGAUCCCGGUAGGAAGGCGGUUGGGUUUAAGUAAUAACCAUUGAGUUUCAAAGUUUGGAAUAUCGCAUUUGUUAGCUGAAACGUUUCCCUGAAUUUGUUGACCAUAGAUCGUUGUUGACGAUAGAUUUGUUGACAAUGAAUUUUGGGAACGAAGACGGUAGUUUUGAGCGCGUAAGAAUCGAAAUUAAUGGACGAUUACGUGGACAACGUAUCGGUUCGGUGUUUUUGCGCUUUCGAGAUAUUAAUCAUACCGGUAUUGUAAGAUUAUAAGAAAAACUUUUUAUUCUUUCGUCGUUUUCGAUCUACUCUGAUGAAGCAAUCGUGAGAAUUACAGCUUAAUGAUUUUUUCGGUUUUGCUGACUGAAUAGUUCGCUGUACUUCAGGACCAGGAGACAACAUAAUCACUUCAGGUUGUUCGGCUUUAGAAUGAUUUUCUUGCACAGAGUGGGAUGCCACAACAUCUGCGUAACUGGUUUUUAGCGUCAAGUUUCUUCGAAACUUGACAAGUAUUGUGAUGAGUGGGGGAAAAUUCAUAUGAGUCAGGGAUCAGGCAUAAUAGUGUAAACUUUCCGGGGGGUGUAUGCGACAUUGGUUCUAUAAAACGUGGAUAAAUCUACCAAACAUUGUUGUGACUUACACAGGAAUUUUGCAUUGUGAGGACUUAAUUGUCUCUAAGUCCUCAUAAUGUAUAGUUAUACAGGUCGAGUGUAUAAGUUACUGUGUAAAAAUCUACAACAAACAUUGUGGGGACUUAAUUGUCUCUAAGUCCUCAUAAUGUCGUUAUACAGGUCGAGUG